rnacentral:rRNA from 1 species
GGCCCAGAUCGUUUACCGUGAAAAAAUUAGAGUGUUCAAAGCAGGCAGAUUCAACUUUCUGCCACCGAAUACAUUAGCAUGGGAUAAUGGAAUAGGACCCUGUCCUCCUAUUUUCAGUUGGUUUUUGAGGACCAGGGUAAUGAUUAAUAGGGAUAGUUGGGGGCAUUAAUAUUUAAUUGUCAGAGGUGAAAUUCUUGGAUUUAUGAAAGAUUAACUUCUGCGAAAGCAUCUGCCAAGGAUGUUUUCAUUAAUCAAGAACGAAAGUUAGGGGAUCGAAGACGAUCAGAUACCGUCGUAGUCUUAACCAUAAACGAUGCCGACCAGCGAUUAGGAGACGUUGAAUACAAAACACCACCAUCAGACGGGGCGAGCCCAUCUCCACGCGAGUGGGGGUGGGUCCGUUUCUCUGGUGGCCCGGUGAAUGACUCCCCUAGC